GUUUAAAAAAAAAGCAUCGCGGUUUGUUUCAGUCGGAAAUCACCCACUUCGUCGUCAGCAUAACCCCAAUGCCUUUGGGGCCGCCUACUCCCACGAGUCAUGAAAGAAGGAAGCGAUAAAAGAUGCAUCCAGCAGCAAGCACUUGCCGCCCUCAAGCUACCUGCAAUUCACCUUGUCUGCCAUUUAUCAAGCCUUCCGUUCCGUGGCAGAAGAGGGCCUUCCCUUCAGUGUGCACACCUGCUGCCAAUUUGGUCAUCAAGUUAGCAAAGUAGAGAAGGACUGCCAAGAUCCCUUGUCUGUCGGACUAUUGACCUUGUUUGCUGCUCUGGCUCAAAUGUUAUUUUCUAGACGUCUCGAACUAGUCAUUGACGUUUUUUGCUCUGUAGUCUCUCGUCUGGUAUUCAUAUUUUUUGUUGUUUGAUCUUGCUCUGUUUUUGUUUCGUGCAAUUGCACUCUAGCCAUUUUGUUUAUAUCCUCGAAUGAACAAUUUCCCUGCCUCUGCAAGUGUUCUUUCUUUAAGUGUGUUUUUUCCUGAUUCUCGUUAACCAACGAUUUCUGUUUCUACAUUGUCGCUACGUUUUUGUGUUUUUGUUAUUAAAUAAAUAUUUUUCGUAAGGAUUAUAUUUGUGUCUACGUUUGUGGGAUCCGAUCACCAUUCAGUUCCUUCCGAGCUGUGUCAAUAAUAUAUAAUCAAAUGUCGUUUGAUAAAAUUUGUUAUUUCACAAGUGCGUAUCAAACUGCAUUAGUUUGUGUCCAAGAAGUAGCUCCUCAUUUGAAAAGGGUUGAUGACC